GAUAACUUCGGGAAACCGGAGCUAAUACCGGAUAAUAUUUUGAACCGCAUGGUUCAAAAGUGAAAGACGGUCUUGCUGUCACUUAUAGAUGGAUCCGCGCUGCAUUAGCUAGUUGGUAAGGUAACGGCUUACCAAGGCAACGAUGCAUAGCCGACCUGAGAGGGUGAUCGGCCACACUGGAACUGAGACACGGUCCAGACUCCUACGGGAGGCAGCAGUAGGGAAUCUUCCGCAAUGGGCGAAAGCCUGACGGAGCAACGCCGCGUGAGUGAUGAAGGUCUUCGGAUCGUAAAACUCUGUUAUUAGGGAAGAACAUAUGUGUAAGUAACUGUGCACAUCUUGACGGUACCUAAUCAGAAAGCCACGGCUAACUACGUGCCAGCAGCCGCGGUAAUACGUAGGUGGCAAGCGUUAUCCGGAAUUAUUGGGCGUAAAGCGCGCGUAGGCGGUUUUUUAAGUCUGAUGUGAAAGCCCACGGCUCAACCGUGGAGGGUCAUUGGAAACUGGAAAACUUGAGUGCAGAAGAGGAAAGUGGAAUUCCAUGUGUAGCGGUGAAAUGCGCAGAGAUAUGGAGGAACACCAGUGGCGAAGGCGACUUUCUGGUCUGUAACUGACGCUGAUGUGCGAAAGCGUGGGGAUCAAACAGGAUUAGAUACCCUGGUAGUCCACGCCGUAAACGAUGAGUGCUAAGUGUUAGGGGGUUUCCGCCCCUUAGUGCUGCAGCUAACGCAUUAAGCACUCCGCCUGGGGAGUACGACCGCAAGGUUGAAACUCAAAGGAAUUGACGGGGACCCGCACAAGCGGUGGAGCAUGUGGUUUAAUUCGAAGCAACGCGAAGAACCUUACCAAAUCUUGACAUCCUUUGACAACUCUAGAGAUAGAGCCUUCCCCUUCGGGGGACAAAGUGACAGGUGGUGCAUGGUUGUCGUCAGCUCGUGUCGUGAGAUGUUGGGUUAAGUCCCGCAACGAGCGCAACCCUUAAGCUUAGUUGCCAUCAUUAAGUUGGGCACUCUAAGUUGACUGCCGGUGACAAACCGGAGGAAGGUGGGGAUGACGUCAAAUCAUCAUGCCCCUUAUGAUUUGGGCUACACACGUGCUACAAUGGACAAUACAAAGGGCAGCGAAACCGCGAGGUCAAGCAAAUCCCAUAAAGUUGUUCUCAGUUCGGAUUGUAGUCUGCAACUCGACUACAUGAAGCUGGAAUCGCUAGUAAUCGUAGAUCAGCAUGCUACGGUGAAUACGUUCCCGGGUCUUGUACACACCGCCCGUCACACCACGAGAGUUUGUAACACCCGAAGCCGGUGGAGUAACCUUUUAGGAGCUAGCCGUCGAAGGUGGGACAAAUGAUUGGGGUGAAGUCGUAACAAGGUAGCCGUAUCGGAAGGUGCGGCUGGAUCACCUCCUUU
rnacentral:rRNA from 1 species